GUGCUUGCUUUGCCAGUGCAUAUAAUAAAUGCAACAACACAGAGAAGAAUAGCAUGGCUCCUGGGCAAGGAUGACUUGCAAAUUCAUGAAGCAUUCCAUCAUUUU
ensembl:snRNA U6 U6 spliceosomal RNA